GCACCCUUAGCUCAGUUGGAUAGAGCAUCUGACUACGAAUCAGAAGGUCGGGCGUUCGAAUCGCUCAGGGUGCGCCA
rnacentral:tRNA from 1 species